rnacentral:sRNA from 1 species
CUAUUCUGGGAGAAUACGAGUUGGAGGCUUUUUGAUGCUUCGGGACUUGAAUAGCUUUGCAUAACUUAACGCACGAUGUAUACAUAUCUCAAACUGAAGGUGGAGACAAGCGAGUGGACUGUUAUGUGCCAAUUGAGUUGGUAAAAGCCAUGCCAACGGGAUAAAAUGAGACCUCGAAAAAAAAAAAAAAAAAAAUUCAUAUCAGGCACAGAACGAAACAAGUUCACCGCAAGCGUGGACUUAACGGGCUAGUUCGUCGCCUUGUCCGGCCCCUUAUUCUGACAUUAAUGUACUGUACGUUCCUCAACAAGGAGACAGACGAACAGUUUUGUUAUACCUAUGCCACAACAUUCAUAUAACGGUUUCAGAUACGAAC